UAGAAAUUAGUUAAGAUAUAACAUAAGAUUGUCAGUCUUAAAUCACUAAUACAGUUAGUAUUUCUAA
rnacentral:tRNA from 1 species